GCAGUCGAGCGACUGAUUAGAAGCUUGCUUCUAUGACGUUAGCGGCGGACGGGUGAGUAACACGUGGGCAACCUGCCUGUAAGACUGGGAUAACUUCGGGAAACCGAAGCUAAUACCGGAUAGGAUCUUCUCCUUCAUGGGAGAUGAUUGAAAGAUGGUUUCGGCUAUCACUUACAGAUGGGCCCGCGGUGCAUUAGCUAGUUGGUGAGGUAACGGCUCACCAAGGCAACGAUGCAUAGCCGACCUGAGAGGGUGAUCGGCCACACUGGGACUGAGACACGGCCCAGACUCCUACGGGAGGCAGCAGUAGGGAAUCUUCCGCAAUGGACGAAAGUCUGACGGAGCAACGCCGCGUGAGUGAUGAAGGCUUUCGGGUCGUAAAACUCUGUUGUUAGGGAAGAACAAGUACGAGAGUAACUGCUCGUACCUUGACGGUACCUAACCAGAAAGCCACGGCUAACUACGUGCCAGCAGCCGCGGUAAUACGUAGGUGGCAAGCGUUAUCCGGAAUUAUUGGGCGUAAAGCGCGCGCAGGCGGUUUCUUAAGUCUGAUGUGAAAGCCCACGGCUCAACCGUGGAGGGUCAUUGGAAACUGGGGAAC
rnacentral:rRNA from 2 species